UCUGAUCCUACAGCUUUGAAAGUAGAGUGGUAAACUUCUGGGCUUUCUGCUUGUGCAUAGCCACCCUCAUCAAAGCCAUCAGAUAUGGUUUCAAGAUCAAUCAUGCUAGUAGGGUCUAUGUUCAUGGAUUUGGUGAGAUGUUUAGUGUUAGCUAGUGUGGCCUUGACUCCUUUGGAUACUAAACGCUUACAGAAUUGAAGCAUGGGGUUGAUGUGCCCUUGGCCAGGAUAUGGGAGGACUAAAGCAUGAGCUAACCAGGCCCUUUGUUCCCUCUCCAUUUUUU
rnacentral:misc_RNA from 1 species